rnacentral:rRNA from 1 species
CGGUAACAUUUCUUGCUUGCUAGAAGAUGACGAGCGGCGGACGGGUGAACAAAGCUUGGGAAUAUGCCUUAUGGUGGGGGACAACAGUUGGAAUCGGCUGCUAAUACCGCAUAACGUCUACGGACCAAAGGGGGGGAUCUUCGGACCUCCCGCCAUUUGAUUAGCCCAAGUGAGAUUAGCUAGUUGGUGAGGUAAUGGCUCACCAAGGCGACGAUCUCUAGCUGGUUUGAGAGGAUGAUCAGCCACACUGGGACUGAGACACGGCCCAGACUCCUACGGGAGGCAGCAGUGGGGAAUAUUGCACAAUGGGCGAAAGCCUGAUGCAGCCAUGCCGCGUGUGUGAAGAAGGCCUUCGGGUUGUAAAGCACUUUCAUUAAGGAGGAAAUGGUAGUCGUUAAUAGCGGCUAUCUGUGACGUUACUUACAGAAGAAGCUCCGGCUAACUUCGUGCCAGCAGCCGCGGUAUUACGAGGUGUGCAAGCGUUAAUCGGUAUUACUGGGCGUAAAGCGUUCGUAGGCGGUUGAAUAAGCAAGAUGUGAAAGCCCAGGGCUCAACCUUGUAACUGCAUUUUUGAACUGUUUCGACUAGAGUACUGUAGAGGGGUGGUGGAAUUUUCCAGUGUAGCGGGUG